rnacentral:sRNA from 1 species
UGUCCUUCCACUGACUG